UACGUAGGGUGCGAGCGUUGUCCGGAAUUAUUGGGCGUAAAGGGCUCGUAGGCGGUUUGUCGCGUCGGGAGUGAAAACCUUGGGCUUAACUCGGGGCUUGCUUUCGAUACGGGCAGACUAGAGGUAUGCAGGGGAGAACGGAAUUCCUGGUGUAGCGGUGAAAUGCGCAGAUAUCAGGAGGAACACCGGUGGCGAAGGCGGUUCUCCGGGCAUGAUCUGACGCUGAGGAGCGAAAGUGUGGGGAGCGAACAGG
rnacentral:rRNA from 1 species